rnacentral:rRNA from 1 species
GAAACCCAUGCUAAUACCNCAUAANCNCUUCGGGGGAAAGGCUUCGGCCGCUAUUAGAUGAGCCUAUGUCUGAUUAGCUUGUUGGUAGGGUAACGGCCUACCAAGGCGACGAUCAGUAGCUGGUCUGAGAGGACGAUCAGCCACACUGGGACUGAGACACGGCCCAGACUCCUACGGGAGGCAGCAGUGGGGAAUAUUGGACAAUGGGCGAAAGCCUGAUCCAGCAAUGCCGCGUGUGUGAAGAAGGCCUGCGGGUUGUAAAGCACUUUCAGAUGGGAAGAUAAUGACGGUACCAUCAGAAGAAGCACCGGCUAACUCUGUGCCAGCAGCCGCGGUAAUACAGAGGGUGCAAGCGUUAAUCGGAAUUACUGGGCGUAAAGCGCGCGUAGGCGGUUUGUUGAGUCGGAUGUGAAAGCCCCGGGCUCAACCUGGGAACUGCAUUCGAUACUGGCAGGCUAGAGUAUGGUAGAGGGAAGUGGAAUUCCGGGUGUAGCGGUGAAAUGCGUAGAUAUCCGGAGGAACAUCAGUGGCGAAGGCGGCUUCCUGGACCAAUACUGACGCUGAGGUGCGAAAGCGUGGGGAGCAAACAGG